UACGGAGGGUGCAAGCGUUAAUCGGAAUUACUGGGCGUAAAGCGUGCGUAGGUGGUUUGUUAAGUCUGUUGUGAAAGCCCCGGGCUCAACCUGGGAAUGGCAAUGGAUACUGGCAGGCUAGAGUGCGGUAGAGGGUAGUGGAAUUCCCGGUGUAGCGGUGAAAUGCGUAGAGAUCGGGAGGAACACCAGUGGCGAAGGCGGCUACCUGGACCAGCACUGACACUGAGGCACGAAAGCGUGGGGGAGCAAACAGG
rnacentral:rRNA from 1 species